GUCGCAUUUGUCCAGAAUGUAAACAAGUCGGGCAUUCUUCACCGUCAGGAGAAAUUUUAUGACAAGGCUUGUUUCGUGUGGCUGUUUAUUGAGUAAAACCCAGAAGAUUGCACAUUGGCCAAGCGGAGCCUCUUCUCCAAGAGGGAAAAAGAUGUGACUGUGAGGCCCUUGUGACAAGGCAGCAAUGAAAAAACAUGACAUGCUGGCCUGCAAGCCUGACCUAAGGGAAGUGAGAACAAGCUGCUGAAACAGAACGGUAAACAGAAGCUUCAAGGCAAGCCGCGUCAGCCUGGAGACAGAGGGGCGACGCUCGGCUGGGCAGCUACCAAUCAUCUGAGGUACAACCCCAACAGUGCCCAUGACACAACAUAUUUGUCAAAGCGCAUGAUGCCCCAAACCUCAAAAAAUACAAAUAAAAACGCUG